UCCCUGGUGGUUCAGACGGUAAAACGUCUGACUACAAUGCAGGAGACCCAGGUUCGAGCCCUGGGUUGGGGA
rnacentral:tRNA from 1 species